AGAGUUUGAUCAUGGCUCAGAGCGAACGCUGGCGGCAGGCUUAACACAUGCAAGUCGAGCGGGCAUUUUCGGAUGUCAGCGGCAGACGGGUGAGUAACACGUGGGAACGUACCCUUCGGUUCGGAAUAACGCUGGGAAACUAGCGCUAAUACCGGAUACGCCCUUUUGGGGAAAGGUUUACUGCCGAAGGAUCGGCCCGCGUCUGAUUAGCUAGUUGGUGGGGUAACGGCCUACCAAGGCGACGAUCAGUAGCUGGUCUGAGAGGAUGAUCAGCCACACUGGGACUGAGACACGGCCCAGACUCCUACGGGAGGCAGCAGUGGGGAAUAUUGGACAAUGGGCGCAAGCCUGAUCCAGCCAUGCCGCGUGAGUGAUGAAGGCCUUAGGGUUGUAAAGCUCUUUUGUCCGGGACGAUAAUGACGGUACCGGAAGAAUAAGCCCCGGCUAACUUCGUGCCAGCAGCCGCGGUAAUACGAAGGGGGCUAGCGUUGCUCGGAAUCACUGGGCGUAAAGGGCGCGUAGGCGGCCAUUCAAGUCGGGGGUGAAAGCCUGUGGCUCAACCACAGAAUUGCCUUCGAUACUGUUUGGCUUGAGUAUGGUAGAGGUUGGUGGAACUGCGAGUGUAGAGGUGAAAUUCGUAGAUAUUCGCAAGAACACCGGUGGCGAAGGCGGCCAACUGGACCAUUACUGACGCUGAGGCGCGAAAGCGUGGGGAGCAAACAGGAUUAGAUACCCNNGUAGUCC
rnacentral:rRNA from 1 species